GACAAGGAGAUCCUCAAGAUUAUUAAGGAGAACUUCGACUUCAGGCCUGGCAUGAUCAUCAUCAACCUUGACCUCAAGAAAGGCGGCAACGGGCGCUACCUCAAGACAGCUGCCUACGGUCACUUCGGAAGGGACGACCCUGACUUCACCUGGGAGGUGGUGAAGCCCCUCAAGUGGGAGAAGCCUUCUGCCUAAGGCGCCCUUUGAGAAGAAGCUUUUGGUCUGCUGCGCUUAUCAUGUUUGGUGGCUUCUGUGUUGUGAUUCUUGAUCUGCCCCUUGCUAUCAUUUGUAUUGU
rnacentral:lncRNA from 1 species